rnacentral:rRNA from 1 species
UACGGAGGGUGCAAGCGUUAUCCGGAUUCACUGGGUUUAAAGGGUGCGUAGGCGGCCAGGUAAGUCUGUGGUGAAAUCUCCGAGCUUAACUCGGAAACUGCCAUGGAUACUAUUUGUCUUGAAUACUGUGGAGGUGAGCGGAACAUGUCAUGUAGCGGUGAAAUGCUUAGAUAUGACAUAGAACACCAAUUGCGAAGGCAGCUCACUGCGCAGUGAUUGACGCUGAGGCACGAAAGCGUGGGGAUCAAACAGG